UGCGGAGGGGGCUAGCGUUGUUCGGAAUUACUGGGCGUAAAGCGCACGUAGGCGGCUUUGUAAGUUAGAGGUGAAAGCCCAGGGCUUAACCCUGGAAUUGCCUUUAAGACUGCAUCGCUAGAAUCGUGGAGAGGUGAGUGGAAUUCCGAGUGUAGAGGUGAAAUUCGUAGAUAUUCGGAAGAACACCAGUGGCGAAGGCGACUCACUGGACAGGUAUUGACGCUGAGGUGCGAAAGCGUGGGGAGCAAACAGG
rnacentral:rRNA from 1 species